UUGAAUCGGCUGUAAUAGAAUAUUAUUUUUUUGGAACUUUUGAAUUGGCUGUAAUAGAAUAUUGUUAGAUAUUAUUUUAAACUAAAAAUAUAAAUAAUAUUAUGUCAAUACAAAAUCUAAGAAAAACUAAGUCAUGUCUAUGAUUAUUUUUAGUGAAGAAUGAUUUAUUAGAGAAGAUGCUAGUUUUUUUCGUAGCAGCUAUCCGACAUACGUAUAUAAUACAGCAUCAAGAAUAUCAUCAAAGGGGACGGAAACCUGCCGGCGACGAACGAAAGAUGCCUUCUUCAGGAUUCGAGACACUCCUCUUCCAGUUUGUUAGCUUGGCAUGCUAUCUACCCACUCACUCUACGAGACUACGCAUGAAGAACUAUGAUCAUCUUAAUAAAGGAAAUGAAAGCAGACUUUACGCAAGACCAUUUUCUAAAUUUUGAGAUAAUAGUUCGCCAAAAUCUUUUUUUAUUUGUAAAAUGAGAUGACUGCAGUGGUUUUUUUAUUUUUGAGGAAAUUUCAGAAUAUCCUGCUUUUUAAUUCUAUUAUUAUCAAAGCGCAAACUAACUUGAAUCUUGUGCUUUUUCUCAAUUUCCUUAGCAACUGACUAAUCAAUAGCAGGGAAUUAGCUUCCUUCCUUCGCAAAUGGGAAAAACCUAUUCGGAUAUCCAUCUUGUUAUUUCUAAAUGAGAAAAGCGCUAUAGGUUUCUUUUACUAAGAACUACUUUAGUUAUCACCGCAUAAUGAUAGAAAUAUCGUAGCUCACAAGUUCGCCUUGAUAGUUUAUUACCUUGAUUAAGCUGGUUCUGUUUUUUAGUAGAAAUGUAGUCACAAAUUUGUGCAUUAUUUUACAUUAUGCUUAUUUAGUGCUUGCCUAUUUGCGGUGUUGAUUAUUCUACAGUCUGUUUCACCAGGGAAAAUAUUUUAGUACUUAUAGAGAAUAUUAAGUGUACUUAAAAGUCUCACAGACAGCAGGAUUAGAGCUUGAAAUUCAGCAGUUUCGUACGUUUUCAUCUGGUUCUGAUAAUGACUUUCAACACUGCUGGUAAAUUGAAAUAUUCUAUUUAUUUAUAUUCAGAAUAAACUUUUGUUUCAUUAA